rnacentral:rRNA from 1 species
GAUGAACGCUGGCGGCGUGCCUAAUACAUGCAAGUCGAGCGAAGCUUUCCUGGUGCUUGCACUAGAAAAACUUAGCGGCGAACGGGUGAGUCACACGUAAAGAACCUGCCUCAUAGACUGGGACAACUACUGGAAACGAUAGCCAAUACCGGAUAACAGCAUUAACUGCUUGGUUGAUGUUUAAUAGUUGGUUUUGCUAACAAUAUGAGAUGCCCUUGCGGUGCAUUAGCUAGUUGGUGGGGUAAAGGCCUACCAAGGCGACGAUGCAUAGCCGACCUGAGAGGGGGAGCGGCCACACUGGGACUGAGAGACGGCCCAGACUCCUACGGGAGGCAGCAGUAGGGAAUCUUCCGCAAUGGGCGAAGUCCUGACGGAGCAACGCCGCGUGAGUGAAGAAGGAAUUCGGUUCGUAAAGCUCUGUUGUUAGGGAGGAAUGUAUGUGUAGUAACUAUACACAGUAAAGGAGGGACCUAACCAGAUAGGCACGGCUAACUACGGU